rnacentral:rRNA from 1 species
ACCGUGCAAGGUAGCAUAAUCAUUUGUCUAUAAUUGUAGACGUGUAUGANAGGCAAAAUGAGAGCCCAACUGUCUGUDAUAACGAANCAAUUAAACUGAUCUUCUAGUACAAAAGCUAGAAGCCAACAUAAGACCAGAAGACCCUGUGAAGCUUAACUAACCUAUAAACCCAAUAAUAACUACUUAGGUUGGGGCGACUUGGAAUAAAAAAGAACUUCCAAUCUAUGACUCCCUCAAAGCUAAGGCGAACAAGCCAACACGACCCAGUAAGCUGACAAUUGAAACAAGUUACUCCGGGGAUAACAGCGCCUCUUCUUUAAGAGCCCAUAUAAAAAGAAGGUUUACGACCUCGAUGUUGGAUCAGGACACCCCAGCAAUGCGACCGUUACAAAGGUUCGUUUGUUCAACGAUAAAGUCC